AUUGAACGCUGGCGGCAGGCCUAACACAUGCAAGUCGAGCGAGCGGCGGACGGGUGAGUAAUGUCUGGGAAACUGCCUGAUGGAGGGGGAUAACUACUGGAAACGGUAGCUAAUACCGCAUACCAUCAGAUUUGCCCAGAUGGGAUUAGCUAGUAGGUGGGGUAAUGGCUCACCUAGGCGACGAUCCCUAGCUGGUCUGAGAGGAUGACCAGCAACACUGGAACGGAGACACGGUCCAGACUCCGACGGGAGGCAGCAGUGGGGAAUAUUGCACAAUGGGCGCAGGCCGGAGACAGCCAGGCCGCGUGUGUGAAGAAGGCCUUCGGGUGGUAAAGCACUUUCAGCGGGGAGGCGUUACCCGAAGAAGAAGCACCGGCUAACUCCGUGCCAGCAGCCGCGGUAAUUC
rnacentral:rRNA from 1 species